rnacentral:lncRNA from 1 species
AGGUUUGGAUCCAGAUAUCCAUUUAAUUUGGUUGUCAAGGUUUGCACUCUGAGUCUACCUGCUAUUUAUUAAUAUAUCUGGACACACUCAGCAGCGAGGUACAUCAAUUCCAGUAUCUGGAGAACAAACGCAAAAAGUCCCUGCUAUAUUGACCCAGAAAAAUUCUGAAACCACCCUUUUCAAUGAAGGGGUGCAAGAAAGGAUGAGAAGGAGAGCUCCCAAGUGUCACGGCGAGGGCUGAUCCAGAAGCUGACCGCUUGCUGCCCUUGGCCAUCAGAGAGACCAUCCUGAUGUGCCACGUGGGUGCUUCUGGGUCUAGAACAAGCCUUUCUGGAGUCAUAUGUUCUGCAAUACCAUUGCAUUACUGAAGUACAGACCUCCAACACUUGCCUCAAAAUCACUCAGGGGAUUCAAAGACUUAGUGCUCACCGUACUUCUAAUUUCUGGGAGGAAUUUAGUUCUCAUCAUAACAAGUUGACCAACUGGACACCCAGGAGGAAAGAAGGACAAAGUAGCUUUGACCUUUAAUGAGAUCUGCCGUCUCUGGGGGCUGACAGUCUGGAAUUUCAAAGGCAUGAAGCUCUCUGGAAUGCAUGCCGCCCUCACUGGCAAAAUCCACACCUCCCUGGUGGGGACAGGAAGGAUGCCCCCUCCAAGGUGCUGUAUUCACAGGGCAUGAGGACAGGCUCCACUCUCCCCUUGCCACCGUUUCCUCUUCAUAAAGAUCUAGAAAAGGGAAUCUCAUUCCCUCCAAAAAUGACAUGGUCCCUCGGAGCAGCAGCAAAGCAUACUUAAUAUACAAAGUCUGCUGAUCUGAGGACACAGGUGCAAAAUCAGCCCUUGCUUCAGUUCAGGCCCAGC